UGAUCAGCAAUGUGUACAGAGCAGAGGCUUAACUGAGAUGCCCAUGGCAAUGCCCAGUGGCUGCAGAUAAUUUAGAGCUCAGUCAUAUGUGCAGGUAACUUUAAAUUAUUCCUUCGUGAGUCCAGGAUGAAUCAGGAUGAAUCACACGGUGAUGGAGGUAAUUCCUUCCAUCAGUUGAACAGUGAAUCAGUCGCUAUUUUUCUCAUCAUAAAGAGGCCAUUUUAUAUGCAGUACUAAAGUACAUUUCCUGCUAAAACCAUGAGGCUGAAUAAAGCGGCCAGUUAGUUACAGGCUUGCAGACGAAUUAACAGUGUGAAUUUCGGCAGAACAGUCUUCAGCGUAAGCAAAUGGUGUUUAGUAAUUUAGAGAAGGAAGUCUGGCUCUAGAUCAGGAGACAGCAGAAAACAGCAUCUCCGAGAAGUGUAUGCCCAAGCUGUUGCUUGAAAUGGGAGAGCAAGCCCAUCACAUCCCAAACUUCCUAAAGUUUCUGUAGGCUCUGAAGGCAAACCUAGAACUCAGUUUGCAGUACAUGUCCAAAGGCAGGUAUUGCUAGCUCUUGGCUAUUCUGUAUAUACAUUCCAGGUCCUGAGGCCCUUGCACAGCAGCACCAGCAGACACCGGUGACUUUUUAUUUAGAGGAAGAGAGAAUAUCGAAGAGGAGGAGAUGGGCUGAGUCCUGAGGCUGUUUGGCAGGUGGCCAUCACAUACUCAUCACUGUUUUCACUACCAACCUCUCAUCUUUGAACGGAAAGAAACCCCACAACCGCGCAUGGGAAGCUCUGAGAAAUAGUUAGCUUUGACAUUGAAGAAAAGAAGAUAUAAAUUAUGCUUCUGGUGGAGAUGGGCUCUGAGUCUCCAUGGACAGAGAGCUUCAUGGAAGAGCUGGUCAGAAGAUCAGAGUCUAAAAAUAAACACUCAAAUGCUGUGCACGUCCAGCUGAACUCAGUGGGACUUGUGGAUUGACUCAUAUCUACAAAUUGGAUUCAGGGUUCAGAUCCGAAACUCGCAGUCACUGGUUGCUUCUCAGAUCCACUGGAACCACCAGAGGUUCGAGUAGAGCCUGGCUGCGUGAUGUCACCCAGCAUGAUUUUCAGCCCUGGAAAGAGGAACUUAAUGGUGGAAGUGCAAAUCAGAUUUUCCUGUCGGACACUCAUAGCACUGGAAGCGUGUGGUGCUUGCUGGCUCCGCAGGGAACGAGAUCACUGCGAAAAGAUUCAUUACCAGUGAUGACUGCUGGAAUAUAUCUGUCUGCGUGGGAAAACAUUGCCAGCAAGCUGCAUUUGGAGCUGCAGCUGAGCGGCUUAAUGCUGCCGAAUAGGAGUUCCUCCGGUAGCGCAAGGAAAAGUCACUUCCCCAGCGAACUGCCUUGUGCUCCAUGGCUCCUUCUGCCACUGGUGCAAAAAACAAUUUGGCAUCUCCAGCUUUGCUGAAAGGGAGAGCAAGGAUGAGGUGGCAGCUGCUUGUGUUUGGGCCUCAUCCUCCAGCCAAGCUGGAUCAGAGUCACGGGAUGGCAGCGCCCGUCCUCUUCCUUACUAGACUAGUGCCCAACCUCUGUUAGAAGGGGCGUUAGACGAGCUAGAAGCUCAUCCUUUGGCAGUUUUUUUUGAUAGAACAAUCUUCCCUUUAGCCAGCUGGAACAACAACCAUUGCUCUUCUGAUACAGGUCUCCAACUGGACGUACACAGCUGUUUUUUGUUCUUUUUGAAAUAAUUGUCCAACUCCUCUGCCCACCUCUGACAUGUAGCCUUAGUUAAAAUAGGAAGUGCUGCUAAUUUCAGUCAAUGCCUGUUCAGCACAACACACUUCUACAGUAUUUUUCAUCACUAAUCAUAAAAGCUAUCUGUGUGAUCAUUGCAAGAAUUGCGCUAACGCUGCUGACCAGCUAAGGCUGUUCCUCUUGGCCACGGUGGCUGCAGGAGUGAACGGGGGGCCCCUGGGCCUGUAUCAUGCAGCAGCUUUGAGAGCUUGCUUUGCCUCCCACCUUUCUCUUCCAGAUGUCAGGUGCUAGUGAAACGUGCCAGGCUUUCUGAGGAGUAAUCAGAUCAAUCUGAGCAGAGAACAAGCUGUCAUAAUUCACUAUGCUAAUGAAAAUUAUGAUGACAUCACAACAAAAAAAUCCUUGCCAAUCUAAUCAUCUCACAGCACCAUGACACAAAGUUAUUUAAAGGCUAAUGUUCUCGGCAGCAUGUAAAAGCUACCAACAAUUUCUGAAGGUGAUUAAACAUCAGAGCGAAGUGGAGCUGUAUGGAGAAUUUAGCUGUUGUCUGGCGAGCAUGCAUUCCUCUAAGCACCAGCAUUAUUCAUACUAUGCUAGAGAAAACAAGUUCAACAAAGCAUGAUAGCAGAAAGCGUAGGGAAAAGUAACCUCUGGCCAGAGAAGUGCUGGGAAUUCACUGUUCCUGCCAUGCAACAUUUCACUAAUAGUGAUGUAAGUGGGGAUGCAUACUCUGUUUGCUAAUAUUUAAUUUCCUCACUGUGGGUCAUAAAGUUUGACUCAAAAUUAAUUGAGGAAAAAAGGGAUUAGAGAAACCUUCCGAAGACGCACGUUCCAGCCUUUUCACGGUGUGUAAGCCUAGGACCCAUGCAGAGGGAAAAAGAAAGAUGUUGCGGGUCCCCCUAUCUCCAGCAUAUAGUCAUCACCAUGUGCGACCAAUAUUUGUUUCAUUAUCUUUUGCAGGAAGCGUACGGAGGAAAGAAUCCACAAUAGGUGCAUCAGGGAAAAAGCAUGAACUCACAUUAGUUUUAGAGAGCUGUAAGAACUAGUUUGUGCAAUUUGAUCUACCUCAAGCUCUAGCCCCAGCAGUGACUCAUGAAACAGAAUGUCAAACUACAGUAAAUUCAAGGAAUAGACACAGCAUUAAGAGACUGGAGGAAAACCGAGAUGAAUGUGAAAGCAGGCAGUCAAAAAGAAAAAGAACAAGCAGCAAGGUUGGAGGGAGAAAGGAGAGGGAACAAAGGGAAUCUGAGGCAAGGAGAGCAACUGGAACAUGACAAUAUGUUGGAUUCCACAGAAAUCUUUUAAUAUUUCGUUAUAUAUUCUCUGUUCCCUUACUCGGAGGUAUUGCUUUUCAGAAGAAAUUUAACUUGAAAAGGUAUUUGCAAGGAAGAAUAGGAGCCUCAGGUAAGCAAAGGGAGAAUCCUGCUUGAAUCAAUUCCUUUUUGGCUCUCAGACAAGGCCAGGGGAAUAAAUACUUGAAAAGUGCAGCA
ensembl:lncRNA